CGUGAGCUGGGUUUAGAACGUCGUGAGACAGUUCGGUCCCUAUCUUCCGUGGGUGUAGGAUACUUGAGAGGAGUUGCCCCUAGUACGAGAGGACCGGGGUGAACGAACCACUGGUGGACCAGUUGUCGUGCCAACGGCAGUGCUGGGUAGCUAUGUUCGGACAGGAUAACCGCUGAAGGCAUCUAAGCGGGAAACCAACCUGAAAACGAGUGUUCCCUAUCAGAGCCGUGGAAGACGACCACGUUGAUAGG
rnacentral:rRNA from 1 species